UCGUUCUUGCGUCGGUGAUGAAUCCAAUGUCUCUAGACAUCAGAUUCACCCUCGGCGUGGGUUCGUUCUGAGAUUAUACGGCCUUUAACUUGAUCUGGAUAAUACCAGCGAAAGGAUCAUGCCCUCCCCUCCC
rnacentral:ncRNA from 1 species